UACGAAGGGUGCAAGCGUUAAUCGGAAUUACUGGGCGUAAAGCGCGCGUAGGUGGUUCGGUAAGUUGGAUGUGAAAUCCCCGGGCUCAACCUGGGAACUGCAUCCAAAACUGCUGAGCUAGAGUACGGUAGAGGGUAGUGGAAUUUCCUGUGUAGCGGUGAAAUGCGUAGAUAUAGGAAGGAACACCAGUGGCGAAGGCGACUACCUGGACUGGUACUGACACUGAGGUGCGAAAGCGUGGGGAGCAAACAGG
rnacentral:rRNA from 1 species